GCUGGGCAUGGUGACUCAUGCCUGUAAUCUCAGCACUUUGGGAGGCUGAGGUGGGAGGAUCACUUGAGCCCAGGAGUUCAAGACCAGCCUGGGCAACAAAGUGAGACCUCGUCUCUA
ensembl:misc_RNA Metazoa_SRP Metazoan signal recognition particle RNA